GCUGGGAUAGCUCAGUUGGCAGAGCACGAGACUCUGAAUCUCAGGGCUGUGGGUUCCAGCCCCACUCUGGACA